rnacentral:rRNA from 1 species
UGGGGAAUUUUGGACAAUGGGCGAAAGCCUGAUCCAGCAACGCCGCGUGAAGGACGAAGGUCUUCGGAUUGUAAACUUCUUUUGGAGGGGACGAAAAAAAUGACGGUACCCUCAGAAAAAGCCACGGCUAACUACGUGCCAGCAGCCGCGGUAAUACGUAGGUGGCAAGCGUUACUCGGAUUUACUAGGCGUAAAGCGCAUGUAGGUGGUUAAGCAAGUCUGUAGUGUAAUUUCUCCGCUCAACGGGGACCUGUCUACAGAAACUGCUUGACUUGAGUGUGGCAGGGGGAGAUGGAAUUCCAGGUGUAGCGGUGAAAUGCGUAGAUAUCUGGAGGAACACCAAUGGCGAAAGCAAUCUCCUGGGCCAAUACUGACACUGAGGUGCGAAAGCGAGGGGAGCAAACAGG